GGCCAGUUAGCUCAGUGGUUUGGGCAUGGUGCUGAAACAAUGACAACACCGAGGUCGCGGGUUCAAUUCCUGCUCGGUCCC
rnacentral:tRNA from 1 species